rnacentral:tRNA from 1 species
GGGAGCAUGGCUCAGUGGUAGAGCACUUGCCUAAUAUGCAGCAAGGGCCUGAGUUCAACUCCCAGUACCACUA